rnacentral:rRNA from 1 species
ACUCCUACGGGAGGCAGCAGUGGGGAAUAUUGCACAAUGGGGGAAACCCUGAUGCAGCCAUGCCGCGUGUGUGAAGAAGGCCUUCGGUUGUAAAGACACUUCUAGUAGGGAGGAAGGUAGUGUAGUUAACACCUGCAUUAUUUGUACGUUACCUACAGAAGAAGCACCGGCUAACUCCGUGCCAGCAGCCGCGGUAAGUACGGAGGGUGCGAGCGUUAAUCGGAAUUACUGGGCGUAAAGCGCAUGCAGGCGGCCUGUUAAGUCAGAUGUGAAAGCCCGGGGCUUAACCUCGGAAUUGCAUUUGAAACUGGCGAGGCUAGAGUCUUGGUAGAGGGGUUAGGAAUUUCAGGUGUAGCGGUGAAAUGCGUAGAGAUCUGAAGGAAUACCAGU